CAGCCGCCGCGGUAAUACGUAGGGGGCGAGCGUUACCCGGAUUCACUGGGCGUAAAGGGGGUGUAGGCGGCUCGGUAAGUCGGGUGUGAAAUCCCACGGCUCAACUGUGGAAUUGCGCCCGAAACUGCUGAGCUUGGGGCCGGUAGAGGGAGACGGAACUGCCGGUGUAGGGGUGAAAUCCGUAGAUAUCGGCAGGAACGCCGGUGGGGAAGCCGGUCUCCUGGGCCGCGCCCGACGCUGAGACCCGAAAGCUAGGGGAGCAAACCGGAUUAGAUACCCGGGUAGUCCUAGCCGUAAACGAUGCCCACUAGGUGUGGGGGAUUAAUUCCUCCGUGCUGUAGCUAACGCGUUAAGUGGGCCGCCUGGGGAGUACGCCCGCAAGGGUGAAACUUAAAGGAAUUGGCGGG
rnacentral:rRNA from 1 species